rnacentral:rRNA from 1 species
CGGCAGCACGGGGCAACCUGGUGGCGAGUGGCGAACGGGUGAGUAAUACAUCGGAACGUGCCCAAUCGUGGGGGAUAACGUAGCGAAAGCUACGCUAAUACCGCAUACGAUCUACGGAUGAAAGCGGGGGAUCGCAAGACCUCGCGCGAAUGGAGCGGCCGAUGGCAGAUUAGGUAGUUGGUGGGGUAAAGGCUCACCAAGCCUGCGAUCUGUAGCUGGUCUGAGAGGACGACCAGCCACACUGGGACUGAGACACGGCCCAGACUCCUACGGGAGGCAGCAGUGGGGAAUUUUGGACAAUGGGCGCAAGCCUGAUCCAGCCAUUCCGCGUGCAGGAUGAAGGCCCUCGGGUUGUAAACUGCUUUUGUACGGAACGAAAAGGCCUUGGCUAAUACCUGGGGCUCAUGACGGUACCGUAAGAAUAAGCACCGGCUAACUACGUGCCAGCAGCCGCGGUAAUACGUAGGGUGCGAGCGUUAAUCGGAAUUACUGGGCGUAAAGCGUGCGCAGGCGGUGAUGUAAGACAGAUGUGAAAUCCCCGGGCUCAACCUGGGAACUGCAUUUGUGACUGCAUCGCUGGAGUGCGGCAG